UAGCUUAGUUGGUAAAGAAUCUGCCUGCAAUGCUGGAGACCUGGGUUCGAUUCCUAG
rnacentral:tRNA from 1 species